rnacentral:lncRNA from 13 species
CUUUCACCUUCUCAGGCUGUCGUGUCUCUGCUGGUCCCCUGAGAAUCUGUUUCUGUUUUGUUUUAACUCUCUUUGUUCUUAGUUUAAAAAAAAUCAGCCACAUAUGAUGAGGCCUGCUUGUGAGUCAUAACCAGAGCCUUCCUUCCCCUAGGACGACUACAGCAGGCUGGGAUCUGGGAUCAGCGUCUUCCUCCUCAUCUCUGACCCUCCCUGAAGAUGCUGUGGUAGCAGGCAGCAUGGUACCCUAGGGGAACUGCUCUACAUCACCACCAUGAGGUUCACCAGCCAGACCUCCUCCCCUUGGCCGCCUGGCAGCUCGCAAACGUCCUCUGGUCUUGGCUGAUGCGUUUCUCCAGGCCACAGCACUCUUCCUCCCUGCUCCAGUCUUGACCUUGGCGUCCUGCACCAGCUGGUAGGCCUGGCUCCCGGGCAGUCGUCGGGCACGUAGCACAGGACCGGUAGCGUGACGGCGGCCACCUCCGUCGAGCAGGCCACCACCCGCUUUGCACAGCGCCCUCCCGCGGUUCGGCUCCCGGGGUGCAGCGGCGGCCAGAGCCCGGGAGGUCUCCAGGCGUGCACCGUCCGGCUGCCCCUACCGUCACCGCCACCGCCCCCGCCACCACCACCUCAGCGGCCGGGCGCGCAAGGAUCGAUGAGCCGCGCACACCCCUUGUUCCCUCGCCCGGCGCCAGGGGACCGCUGCAGGGAGGAUUUCUUUGCCUCCUUCCCCCUUUCUCCAGCUACCCCAGCGCCCGGCCUGAGAAGUCACCCUGCGCUUUCUACCAGCACCCAACUCCUCCCACUGAACUGGAACGUGCCCCCUUCCAAUUCCAGUUCACACCUCCCCAGUCCCACCAGGGGCGCUGCCGCCUUCCAUCACGUAGGCAAGCUCCCGGUGUGCGCCAAAGACACCCAGGUGGAAACCCACCAAGGCCGCCAUAGUGAGAGGCAGUUUACUCAGAGCUUGCUGUGGCGAGGGAGUCAGCCACCAUCACUUGCAUUUGGGAGGAGACUUGGAGCCAGGCCGCGGAGUGAGGACCCUUCAUCGUGGAAAACGGAAGGCUUCAAGCAAAAUGUUGUGAGCACCUACAGUGUGCCAGGCAGUGUUCUGAGAACUCGUUGUACGGGAGUGAAUGAGAUCACCUUAAUUUUGAGAAGUUUAUCAUCUACUCAAGGGAAACACGUGUAAUAAACUACAUUUCAGACAUAAUCCCUCAAAACCAAGUGGAACCUUUUCAAGGAGCUGGCAGAUGCAAGCCUGGUAAGUCACUGCUUAGGAUUUAAACUUUGAUCUGAAGCAGAAUAAUAGCAAGAAUAUAUUUUAGGAGGAAGUGUUUGGGUCCUUCAAAAUUCUGUCUUUGUUAUAUUCGUAACUGUGCAAAGAUAGGAAUUCUUGCAUAAUAGCAGAAGUAAUUUGGGGUAUUUUGCUUGGCAGCUUUGGGGCAUGUUUUCCUUUGGAGGAAGGAGAAUCAAGAAAAUAUUUUUUGUUUCACCAUCUAAACCUACUCUAGCAUAAAAUCAAAUGACCAGUGGCAUGGUAUUUGAAGACUUAGGCAGAUUAAUGACCUGUGAAUUAUGCUUUUCUUUCAAUAUAUUCUGAAAUAUUUUCUGGUUGGAUACACAGUUUCCGUAAACAUACACUGAAGGAUGUUUUGGUGAAAAUAGAAAACUCAAGUCUAUCUUGAUUCAGAAGAUCUAGUUCUAUUUUAAUAAAAUGGAAUGGACACUUUGCUUUUUGCCCUUC